rnacentral:rRNA from 1 species
ACGGGAGGCAGCAGUGGGGAAUAUUGCACAAUGGGGGGAACCCUGAUGCAGCGACGCCGCGUGAGUGAAGAAGUAUUUCGGUAUGUAAAGCUCUAUCAGCAGGGAAGAAAAUGACGGUACCUGACUAAGAAGCCCCGACUAACUACGUGCCAGCAGCCGCGGUAAUACGUAGGGGGCAAGCGUUAUCCGGAUUUACUGGGUGUAAAGGGAGCGUAGACGGUCGAGCAAGUCUGAUGUGAAAGCCCGGGGCCCAACCCCGGAACUGCAUUGGAAACUGUUUGACUAGAGUGCAGGAGAGGUAAGUGGAAUUCCUAGUGUAGCGGUGAGAUGCGUAGAUAUUAGGAGGAACACCAGUGGCGAAGGCGGCUUACUGGACUGUAACUGACGUUGAGGCUCGAAAGCGUGGGGAGCAAACAGGAUUAGAUACCCUGGUA